rnacentral:rRNA from 1 species
CUGCAGCUCAAGUGGUGGCCGCUAUUAUUGGGCCUAAAACGUCCGUAGCCGGUUUAGUAAAUGCCUGGGUAAAUCGUGUAGCUUAACUAUACGACUUCCGGGUAGACUGCUAGACUUGGGACCGGGAGAGGCUAGAGGUACUCCUGGGGUAGAGGUGAAAUUCUGUAAUCCUAGGGGGACCACCAGUGGCGAAGGCGUCUAGCUAGAACGGGUCUGACGGUGAGGGACGAAACCCUGGGGCGCGAACCGGAUUAGAUACCCGCGUAGUCC